rnacentral:sRNA from 1 species
UGCCAAGUUUCUUGCACCUAAUGGCCAC